rnacentral:misc_RNA from 1 species
UGUGGGAGCGAGCUUGCUCGCGAUGGCGCCAGAUCAGUCGAUAUUGAUGUUGAAUGUUGGUCCGCUAUCGCGAGCAAGCUCGCUCCCACA